AACGAACGCUGGCGGCAUGCCUAACACAUGCAAGUCGAACGAGACCUUCGGGUCUAGUGGCGCACGGGUGCGUAACGCGUGGGAACCUGCCCUUAGGUUCGGAAUAACUCCCCGAAAGGGGUGCUAAUACCGGAUAAUGUCUUCGGACCAAAGAUUUAUCGCCUUUGGAUGGGCCCGCGUUGGAUUAGCUAGUUGGUAGGGUAAAAGCCUACCAAGGCGACGAUCCAUAGCUGGUCUGAGAGGAAGAUCAGCCACACUGGGACUGAGACACGGCCCAGACUCCUACGGGAGGCAGCAGUGGGGAAUAUUGGACAAUGGGCGAAGGCCUGAUCCAGCAAUGCCGCGUGAGUGAUGAAGGCCUUAGGGUUGUAAAGCUCUUUUACCCGGGAUGAUAAUGACAGUACCGGGAGAAUAAGCUCCGGCUAACUCCGUG
rnacentral:rRNA from 1 species